rnacentral:rRNA from 1 species
GAUGAACGCUGGCGGCGUGCCUAAUACAUGCAAGUCGAGCGAACAGACAAGGAGCUUGCUCCUCUGACGUUAGCGGCGGACGGGUGAGUAACACGUGGAUAACCUACCUAUAAGACUGGGAUAACUUCGGGAAACCGGAGCUAAUACCGGAUAAUAUAUUGAACCGCAUGGUUCAAUAGUGAAAGACGGUUUUGCUGUCACUUAUAGAUGGAUCCGCGCCGCAUUAGCUAGUUGGUAAGGUAACGGCUUACCAAGGCAACGAUGCGUGGCCGACCUGAGAGGGUGAUCGGCCACACUGGAACUGAGACACGGUCCAGACUCCUACGGGAGGCAGCAGUAGGGAAUCUUCCGCAAUGGGCGAAAGCCUGACGGAGCAACGCCGCGUGAGUGAUGAAGGUCUUCGGAUCGUAAAACUCUGUUAUUAGGGAAGAACAAAUGUGUAAGUUACUAUGCACGUCUUGACGGUACCUAAUCAGAAAGCCACGGCUAACUACGUG